rnacentral:lncRNA from 1 species
UUGAUAUGAAGACUUGGAAUAACUCUGUCAAGUUGCAAAGAGAAAAUUGAAAUGUCGGCGGCUUCUCGAAUGUUUACUUAAUAAACGUCAGAGAUUAUGGAAGGAAUAACUCGCCGGUCUACUUUUAGGCUUUCGAAUGAUGGAGAAAAUUCAGUUCCUUUUUUCCACUUUUUCCCCUCUUCUUAGUCAGGUGACUACCGGCUCUCCAGCCGGCGAUAGGUACUUCGGUUGGCGAUGGUUGCUCCGGCCGGUCGACGAUGGCGCGCUGGUAGGAGUACUCUUCAGGGUUUGGGAGCAAAUGAGAAAUUGAUCCCUGUUGCAGUACUCUUCUUUUAUUUAUUUUGGUUAAUGCUAUUGAUUUUUAUUUUAUUUUAUGAACAAUUGUGG